rnacentral:rRNA from 1 species
AUUGAACGCUGGCGGCAGGCCUAACACAUGCAAGUCGAACGAGUGGCGGACGGGUGAGUAAUGUCUGGGAAACUGCCUGAUGGAGGGGGAUAACUACUGGAAACGGUAGCUAAUACCGCAUACCAUCGGAUGUGCCCAGAUGGGAUUAGCUAGUAGGUGGGGUAAAGGCUCACCUAGGCGACGAUCCCUAUCUGGUCUGAGAGGAUGACUAGCCACACUGGUACUGAGACACGGUACACAAUCUUACGGGAGCAAGCAGUGGGGAAUAUUGCACAAUGGGCGCAGUCCUGAUGCAGCCAUGCCGCGUGUAUGAAGAAGUCCUUCGGGUUGUAAAGUACUUGCAGCGGGGAGGCGGGAGCAGAAGAAGAAGCCCCGGCUAACUCCGUGCCAGCAGCCGCGGUAAUAG